rnacentral:rRNA from 1 species
CUACGGGUGGCUGCAGUCGAGAAUCUUCCGCAAUGGGCGAAAGCCUGACGGAGCGACGCCGCGUGCGGGAUGAAGGCCUUCGGGUUGUAAACCGCUGUCAGUGGGGAGCAAAUCCGGGAAACCGGUUGAGCUAUCCGCAGAGGAAGCGCAGGCUAAGUUCGUGCCAGCAGCCGCGGUAACACGAACUGCGCGAACGUUAUUCGGAAUCAUUGGGCUUAAAGAGUUCGUAGGCGGCCUAGUAAGUCGGGUGUGAAAUCCCUCGGCUCAACCGAGGAACUGCGCCCGAUACUGUUAGGCUUGAGGGAGACAGAGGUGAGCGGAACUGAUGGUGGAGCGGUGAAAUGCGUUGAUAUCAUCAGGAACACCGGUGGCGAAAGCGGCUCACUGGGUCUCUUCUGACGCUGAGGAACGAAAGCUAGGGGAGCGAACGGGAUUAGAUACCCGCGUAGUC